AAAAGGGGCCUAUCAUGGCCCC
rnacentral:sRNA from 1 species